rnacentral:rRNA from 1 species
GACGAACGCUGGCGGCGUGCCUAAUACAUGCGAGUAGAACGCUGAAGGAGGAGCUUGCUUCUCUGGAUGAGUUGCGAACGGGUGAGUAACGCGUAGGUAACCUGCCUGGUAGCGGGGGAUAACUAUUGGAAACGAUAGCUAAUACCGCAUAAGAGUAGAUGUCGCAUGACAUUUGCUUAAAAGGUGCAAUUGCAUCACUACCAGAUGGACCUGCGUUGUAUUAGCUAGUUGGUGAGGUAACGGCUCACCAAGGCAACGAUACAUAGCCGACCUGAGAGGGGGAUCGGCCCCCCUGGGACUGAGACACGGCCCAGACUCCUACGGGAGGCAGCAGUAGGGAAUCUUCGGCAAUGGACGGAAGUCUGACCGAGCAACGCCGCGUGAGUGAAGAAGGUUUUCGGAUCGUAAAGCUCUGUUGUAAGAGAAGAACGAGUGUGAGAGUGGAAAGUUCACACUGUGACGGUAUCUUACCAGAAAGGGACGGCUAACUACGUG